rnacentral:rRNA from 1 species
UACGUAGGCAGCAAGCGUUGUUCGGAAUUACUGGGCGUAAAGAGUGUGUAGGCGGUGCUCUAAGUCUGUUGUGAAAUCUCCCGGCUUAACUGGGAGGGUGCGGCGGAGACUGGAGUGCUAGAGUGUGGGAGAGGUAAGCGGAAUUCCUGGUGUAGCGGUGAAAUGCGUAGAUAUCAGGAGGAACACCUGUGGUGUAGACAGCUUACUGGACCACGACUGACGCUGAGACACGAAAGCGCGGGUAGCAAACAGG